rnacentral:lncRNA from 1 species
AAAAUUAAUCAUUUAAUUCAUUUUCCAUAAAAUUCACAAAAUCGAAUAAAACAUACUUUAGAUAAUUAAGACGAUAGUAAGGUUACUCACUAUUUCAGGAGUCGAAUUCCAAGUACUCGGAUUCUUGAUCCUCGGGUACUAUCACUUUACUUUUGCCAAAAUGCUCACCACCUAGACAUAAUGCACAAUAAGCCAUUUACUACAUUUGUGCUAAAUUGUUAUAAAACCAAUUCAGGCUUUAUACUAAUGUAUGAAGUGGGAUGCAAAUUGUUCGAAUUAUUCUCUAAACACGGUGUUCUACACAAAUUCAAUUGUGUACCUAAAUUAAAUGGUAUUGGCCUAAUUCGAUUUAUCACUCGAUUAAUUGGCCAAUACGUCCAAUUCAACUCCAAAUAAUUUUAUUUUUCUCCUAAUACUCCAAAUCAUCAAACACAAAUUAAAUAACUUGAAAUAUGGCAAAAUCAUCCUCAAUAUUUUCUCUUGGAAAAUUCAGCCAUGGUGGGUGCAUCAACACUAUAAUUUUUCCUACUUGAUUCUCACACCAUAAAUCACUAAUUCCUAACCAAAUCAUUUGAAAUAAAAUCAAAAUCAUCCUCAAUAUUCCACAUGGAGAAUUCAGCCAAUGAUGGGUGAUGGAAGAACAUGAAUUUUUCUUGCUUGAUUUUCAUGCUACACAUCACUAUCUAACUAAAAACACUAAAAUAUUUUAAAAUCUAACCAAAUCAAGCAUUUAAACCUCUCUCCUAGGGUUUGAUUAGCACACUAUCCUUCAUGAUAUCUUGUGAUUUAACCAUGGAAAAUGCAAAAUAAUGCAUGGGAAAGGUAGAUCACAAGUCAAAAUCAAGAAAUUUUACCUUUGAUUGCUUGAUUACUUGAAAUCCACCAAUUUUCUCUUGAAUUUUCACCUUAGGGUUCUUGUUCUUC